GAUACAUGUUGUACUCAUUGGGGAAGUCAACCAAGUUUUUGCUUCAAUACCAAGAGAUGAGCCAAGUUUUUGCAUAAAACAGUUUCUAACUUGUUACCUACAUUUUUCUUAAGCCAGAAGGAUAGGAUAUUGCCUCUGAUUUAUUCCUAGAUCUGUGGGCUGCAGGUUUUUUUUUAACCUCCAAACUAGAGAGCACCCUCUGUAUUCAUUAUACACAGUAAGAAAUUCAGCAAUCAACAUAUUUCAAGUUUAACCUCUUGGACAAAGAAAAUCUUUGGGACUUCAGACUUUUUAGAUGUUUCCCCUCACUUUCCAAUUAAUAUGGUAUCAAGAGGAAGAGCCAAAGAAGCGGAUGGGAGAAGUUAUUCCACAAACAUGGGACAGAUUUCACUCUCUCCAAAUAAGAUUAAAAUGCAAAAGGAAUGAUCUGAAAAAGUUGAAUUUUUAACACUUCUCCAUGCACUAAAACUUCUAACAGGAGCUGUUACUGUAAAGAAGAAAAAUAACAACACUCAGGAAUAUUGUGACAUGCACUGCUGUGGAGUUUUUAUCUUUUCAUUUUAAAUCACCCACCCAAACCAACAGCAGCAUUUCUCCCAAAAGGUAACGAUAGUGGUAAAUGAGCUGUGCUGUGUCCCCAUUUGCAAAACAUCUGCUGGUCGACAUUGCACAUUGUAUACAACAAGAAAGCUGGGAUCUGAAUCUCUAGUCUUUGCUAGGAGAGAAGGGUCAUGUAGGGAAGCAAACCAUUUGAAGCCCGUCUCCAGACCAGAGCCUGACUUCCCCAUCUACUCCAUUGGUUCUCUUGGGAAGAGCUUUUUGGUAUCAUUAACAUUUUGUAACAAAAAUAAAGAAAUGGAAAUAAAGAGCUACAUGCUUUCUUCUUUGGUAAAUCUAUCAUUUGGACAUUAUUAGUGCAUACCUGAGCCAAGAAACACCCUUGCUUAGUGGUCACCUCUCAGAGCCACAUACAACAGGCUCCACAGGAUAAAGAGAAGACUUGGUGUGACAUAAUAGGUAAAGAAGCUACCA
rnacentral:lncRNA from 1 species